rnacentral:tRNA from 2 species
GUCUCGAUAGGGUAGCGGAUAUCCUCAACGCCUCCGGAGCGUUGGACCCGGGUUCGAGUCCCGGUCGGGACG